GGUGAACGCUGGCGGUAGGCCUAACACAUGCAAGUCGAACGGCAGCACAGUAAGAGCUUGCUCUUACGGGUGGCGAGUGGCGGACGGGUGAGGAAUACAUCGGAAUCUACUUUUUCGUGGGGGAUAACGUAGGGAAACUUACGCUAAUACCGCAUACGACCUACGGGUGAAAGCAGGGGAUCUUCGGACCUUGCGCGAUUGAAUGAGCCGAUGUCGGAUUAGCUAGUUGGCGGGGUAAAGGCCCACCAAGGCGACGAUCCGUAGCUGGUCUGAGAGGACGAUCAGCCACACUGGAACUGAGACACGGUCCAGACUCCUACGGGAGGCAGCAGUGGGGAAUAUUGGACAAUGGGCGCAAGCCUGAUCCAGCCAUACCGCGUGGGUGAAGAAGGCCUUCGGGUUGUAAAGCCCUUUUGUUGGGAAAGAAAAGCAGCAGGUUAAUACCCCGCUGUUCUGACGGUACCCAAAGAAUAAGCACCGGCUAACUUCGUG
rnacentral:rRNA from 1 species